AUUGAACGCUGGCGGCAGGCCUAACACAUGCAAGUCGAACGAGUGGCGGACGGGUGAGUAAUGUAUGGGAAACUGCCUGAUGGCGGGGGAUAACUACUGGAAACGGUAGCUAAUACCGCCUAAUAUCAGAUGAGCCUAGGUCGGCUGAGCUAGUUGGUGGGGUAAAGGCCUACCAAGGCGACGAUCCCUAACUGUUCUGAGAGGAUGAUCAGGCACACUGUAACUGAGACACGGUCCAGACUCCUACGGGAGGCAGCAGGGGGCAAAAUUGGACAAUGGGCGAAAGCCGGAUGCAGCCAUGCCGCGUGUCUGAAGAAGGGCUUCGGAUUGUAAAGCCCUUUAAGGUGGGAGGCGUUACCCGCAGAAGAAGCACCGGCUAACUCCGUGCCAGCAGCCGCGGUAAUUC
rnacentral:rRNA from 1 species